UCUUUAUGGAGAGUUUGAUCCUGGCUCAGGACGAACGCUGGCGGCGUGCCUAAUACAUGCAAGUCGAGCGGAUGAAGGAGAGCUUGCUCUCCGGAUUCAGCGGCGGACGGGUGAGUAACACGUGGGCAACCUGCCUGUAAGAUCGGGAUAACUCCGGGAAACCGGGGCUAAUACC
rnacentral:rRNA from 1 species